GGGGGGUUUUUGAAGAGAAAAUGCGUGAUUCUCGGUAUAAAUGGGGAUUUUCGAUGAGGAAAUGUGUGAUUUUUGGUAUAAGAGGUGGAUUUUUUUUAGGAAAGUUUGAGGUUUUGGGGUUAAAUGGGGUAUUUUCCAAGAGAAAACGCGUGAUUUUCUGGUUAAAUGGCAGAUUUUCCAUGAGAAACUGCGUGAUUUUGGGGUUAAAUGGGGGAUUUUCCAAGAGAAAAUGCGUUAAUUUUGGUUAAAUGUGGGAUUUUCAAAGGGAAAAUGUGUGAUUUUUGGGUUAAAUGGGGGGAGUUUCGAAGAGAAAACGCAUGAUUUUGGGAUUAAAUGGGGGAUUUUCGAAGAGAAAAUGUGUGAUUUUCGGUUAAAUGGUGGAUUUCUCAUGAGAAAAUGCGUGAUUUUUGGUUUAAAUGGGGGAUUUUCAAUCAAAAAUGUGUGAUUUUCGUAUUUAACAGGGAAUUAUCGAAGAGAAAAUGAGUGAUUUUCUGUUAAACGGGGGAUUUUCGAACAGGAAAUGCCUGAAUUUUGGUUAAAAGGAGGGUUUUCAGAGAGAAAACACACGAUUUGGAAAUUAAAUGGGGAUUUUCUGGUAACAACAAAUGCGUGAUUUUGGGGUUAAAUGGGGGUUUUUCGAAGAGAAAAUGCAUGAUUUUCAGAUAAAUGGGGGAUUUUCCAUGAGAAAAUGUGUGAUUUUCGAGUUAAAUGGGGGGUUUUCGAAAUGCAAAUGCGUGAUUUCUUGUUUAAAUGGGGGGGGUUUUCCAGGAGAAAAUGCAUGCUUUUUGGGUGAAUGGGGGAUCUUCUGAAAGAAAAUGCAUAAUUUUCGGGUUAAAUGGGGGAUUUUUGAAGAGAAAAUGCGUGAUGUUCAGUUAAAUGCGGCAUUUUCAAAGAAAAAAAUGCAUGAUAUUCGGGUUAAAUGGGGGAUUUCUGUUAAGGAAAUGAGUGAUUUUUGGGUUAAAUGGGCAGUUUUCAAACAGAAAACGUGAUACAUCUGGGUUAAGUUGCCAAUUUACAAAGAGAAAAUGGAUGAUUUUCAGUUAAAUGGAGGGUUUUUGAAGAGAACAUGUGUGAUUUAAAUGGGGAUUUUCGAUGAGAAAAUGUGUGAUUUUCAGUAUAAGUGGGGGAUUUGUUUUUUAGGAAAAUGCGAGACGUUUGGGUUAAAUGUGGGAUUUUGCAAGAGAAGAUGCGUGCUAUUCUGUUAAAUGGGGCAUUUUUGAAGAGAAAAUGUAUGGUUUUUGCUUUAAUGGGGGAUUUUCAAACAAAAAUGUGUGAUUUUUGUAUUUCAUUGGGAAUUAUCUAAGAGAAAAGGAGUGAUUUCCGGGUCAAAUGAGGAGUUUUUGUUAAGAAAAUGUGUGAUUUUCGGUUAAAUGGGGGAUUUUUGAGCAGGAAAUACGUGAUUUUCGAGUUAAAUGUGGGAUAUUUUAAGAGAAAGUAUGUGCUUUUUGGUUAAAAGGCUGAUUUUGGCAAUGAAAAUGCGUGACUUUCAGUGGGCCCCAUUGCCCCCAGUGUGCGUCCCAGCCUGACGGGACGGGGGGUGUCUUUCUAAAACAAAGAUGCCACUCAGCUUCCGAAGGUGACCUCGGAAUUAGUUUUAUUUAGCGAAGGUGCCAGGAGGUUUCACAGGAGUAGUCUGAAUUUAGCGAGAGAAGUGGGAGCGAGUGGCUGAGCUGACCUCUCUGAGCUGAGCUGGUGCAUUUCAGCAGUGGUGACAGCGGCUGCCAGGGCGUGCUGCUGGCUCAGAUUCAAGUGGCCAUCAACCAGAACACCCAGAUGCCUUAUAGCGGGGUUGCUCUCCAGCCCCUAGCCCCCCAGUCUGCACGCAGAGGCAGGGCAGCAGCGUCCCAGGUGCGGAGCCCAGCACUUGCUCCUCUUUGUGCGGAUGGUGACUAGCCUCAAAUCUGUCCAGAUCUCAGGGCGAGGCCUCUCUCCCAUCAACGGAGUCAGCACUCUUCCCAGCUUAGCAUCACCCACACGUUUACUUCAUACAACUGCCAGAUCUUUACUGGAAUCAACAGGAAAAACAAAGGCCCUCACAACUGACCCCCACAGAAUGCCAAUGGGGACAGGUACGGUACCUGUCAGGCCGUAGCCUCCCUUCACCCAACACGGCCAUGCUUUGGUCGGCAUGGGACGUUCUUAGGGUCGCAUCGUCACGGCCUCGUUCUGUCACGAGCCACCUCCCUGCUGACUGCUAUACUACAGGGACCCUGACAACCCACCACCAGUUGCUGACCAACUUCGGCCCAGAAAGAAUACAUUCGAGACACAGAGCUCAUUACCUAGCUCCAUCCCUCCCAGCGUAGGAACUCUGGUGGAGGAAGACGGCUUCUCCUUGACCAAAGCAGUGUUGGCUUCUAGAGAGCAGCAGCGAGCCCAAACCAACAGAUCCAGAUCCAGCAGGGAGUGACAUCGAGCCCAUGGAAGUGGAUCCGCCUCCAGAGGACUCCCUCAUCAUUAGAGGUGCCAGCAUCGACACGCAAAGAACUUCUCCUACUUAGGAGCUGAGGAGCUGGUUUAGCAGACACUGCUUCUGGUGCUCCGUGAUCCCUCCAGAUACCAUAUGGCAGGUAUGGUGGCGGCAGUCAGCAGUGCCGCUUGCAACCUUCACUGCCCCCUCAGCGGUCUCCCCUCAGCCCCGGCAUAUUGCUCAAGCCGUGAAGCCAAAGGUCCGACGCGGGGUUGAGCGUGCUGGAAGUGGGUGAAUCCGCUCAGGAGGGCACCUGAGCUGAACUGCAGCCCACACUGCUCAGUCCCAGCCGGGUGACAGAGCUCCUCCGUGCUGACACCUCAGUGCCACAGCCAUCCCAACCACCUUGUCACUGACCCUGAGAGCCCCUUGGUCGGGCAGGGAAUUAAGGCCUGUGUUUCUGCCCGAUUCCACCAUGGGUGCCCCAUUCACGGAGGUGCCCAAAGCCGUGGGGGGGGACUUACGCAGCCGGAGAGAGAGGGGCAGGCAGCGCGUGGCAGGAGUGGGGCUGGGCGGGCUGUGAGAUUCCUUCCACCACCACCACAAUUUGAUUUUAUGGUUUCUGAUGCCAUCUAUCCCAUGCAAGCCAUUUGUUUGUGCAUUACGUGUUCUGUGAUCUGUAAGGUCCUUUCAGUGCCAACCUUGCAGUGAUUCCAUCCUCCUAUAUCACUGAGAUGUAGAGAGCCAGCCCCCUGCCCCAUGCGUUGCGGGGUCCUGAUGGACUAAGGGACGCUGGGGGAUAUGGGACAGAGGCAGGGGAUGGGGGUGUCCCUUCCCCCAAGUCACGCACACCACUGCUGGCUCUUGGUUGCUGCUGCAAAGCGAGGCCAGAGGCCCAUCAGCCCCAGUGUGCGUCCCAGCCUGACGGGACGGGGGGUGUCUUUAUAAAACAAAGAUGCCACUCAGCUUCCGAAGGUGACCUCGGAAUUAGUUUUAUUUAGCGAAGGUGCCAGGAGGUUUCACAGGAGUAGUCUGAAUUUAGCGAGAGAAGUGGGAGCGAGGCUGCCAGGGAAGCCUCAUUUUCUGAUGGAAAUCGGAUGAUGUCCGGAGAGUCCGUUUUCUGGAGAAGGCGGCAGACUGAAGACGUGGCAGAGCCCCAGUGGGCUCAGAGCUUUUGGGACGGCAGUGCUGAGAGGACGUGCUGCUUCCAGCGCUCAUCUGUUGCCAACAUGGCAAGAGGAAAGGCUCGACGCGCCAGGCGCCCGAAGGCAUCUGAGCGCUCCGCUGCGAGCGAGGCUGUUGGUGAGGCCCGUCAGCGCCGCGUAGAAGAGGCAGCAGCAAUGAGUCAAAGGCUCCGUGUGCUGCUGGCGUUGUGGAUGGCAUUUUCAGUACAAGCUCUUGCCUCCGCUGGCCAGCUCUGCAGAACGUGGCGUGACAAAGCCACGGGAAUGGCACGCAAGCUGGCUGCUGCUGCUUCAGGGCACAAGAAGAUGCUUUUCAGGCUGUCCAUCAUAGUGCUCCUGGUGACUUUGGCCAUGGUGAAUGUGUGUGUCUUCAAGACUUGCUGGGCAGCUAGGAGAAUUUGGGAAGACAGCACGGCACAGGAGAUCGAGAGACUCCAACAGGCAGCGUCUGAGCUGAGAGCGCAGCUGGACUGCUACCAGACACCUGACUGGGCGCUGCAAAGCUUUGGUGAGGACACAGGCAGGCAAGCCCUGCUACCCUGUGCUUCUCCACGUCUGCGGCCUCUUGCACUCAUCUCCUCCCCCAUCAUUACAGGUGCCACCAUCGACACGCGGAGAACUUCUCCUAUUUACGAGCUGAGGAGCUGGUUUAGCAGACACUGCUUCUGGUGCUCUGUGAACCCUCCGGAUACCAUAUUGCAGCCGGGUGUCUCCCUUGGAGAAUGCUGGCCCAUGGAAGGACAGCAGGGCCAGGUGGUCAUCAGGCUGCGUGCCAAAAUCCGGCCCUCUUGUGUCACUCUGGAGCACAUCACCCCGGAGAUGACUCCGAGCGGCACAGCCAGCAGUGCCCCCAGGGAUGUCGCUGUCUUUGGACUGGAUGCGGACAGCGAAGAGGAGGUUCCCCUUGUGUCAUUCACCUUUGAUGUGGGGGAAGGGCCCACGCAGACCUUCUUGCUAAAGAAUAAUCAUUCCAGAGCCUUUCGCUACAUCAAGGUUCUGGUGAAGAGCAACUGGGGACACCCCCGUUACACCUGCCUUUACCGAGUGCAGGUGCACGGAAAGGUGGUGAAAACAGAAGACCAUAGAACCGCAGAGUCAUUGAAUGGCUAAGGCUGGAAAAGACCCACAGGAUCAUGCGAUGCAACCAGUCACCCGUCACCAGCGGUUCUCAUGAAACCAAGCUCUGCGCCGGGCUCGCCGCUGCUCCCCUGACAGCAACGCGGCGAGCGCUCGUCGCAACGGCGGGGCUGAGGCACAAAGCCAGGCGGAGGGGCCGCAGGCUUUCUGGGCUGACACGGGCAGCCACAUGGACCUCCAAGGAGCGAGCGAGCUGCCCAGACCUCUGGCUGCGGGGAACUCCAGAAGCUCCAGGCUGCGAGAGCAAAUCAGCCCACUGAGGUGUGUGCGGCAGUCGGAGAGAGAGACCGAGGCCUGGGAUCGCGCAGUGACAGGGGCAGAGCGACAGCCCUGCCCUGAGCCCCAGCAAGGGGGAGAAGCAAGGCUGCCUGCUUUCCGCUGCUCCCAGGAUUGGUUUGAGACAGCGCACCAAAACGCAUACAGGUAUUUCCCAUCGCUUGAGGGUCGGGUGAGAAAAAGCCCUCCCACUGUGCGAGCGGAGCGACUGCGGGACCGGCUGACGGGGCUGGAUUUGUACAAGUCUCUAGGGCCCGGUGCCAUGCAUGCCGGGGUGCAGAAGCAGAUGGCCGACUGUGGGGUGGCCAAGCCGCUGUCCAUCUCUUUAGGGAAGUCGUGGCUGUUGGGCAGAGUCCACGGCGACUGGCAAAUGGAAACAUCACUCCGAGGAGGCCCCGGGAAACUCCAGGCCCGUCAGCCUCACCUCGGUGCCUGGGGAGUCUGUGGAGCAGAUCCCCCGCGAAGAGAUGUUCAGGCACAUGCGAGACGAGCCCUCCUCACCCUUGUGUCCUCCUGCCUCCGGUACCACGGGCACCAAGCAGCGCGGUGCAGUCGCCGUAGGAGGAGGAAGGGAUGGCAGCCAGAGAGUGGGACCGGGCAGGUUAAAUGGGGGAUUUUCUGAUAUGAAAGUGCCUUACUUUCGAUUAAAAGGAGAUUUUCCGAGAGAAAAUGCCUGACUUUCGGAUUAAGUGUGGGAUUUUCAAGGUCAAAAUGUGUGAUUUUCUGCUU